rnacentral:rRNA from 1 species
AAAUGAAUAGACGGGGGCCCGCACAAGCAGCGGAGCAUGUGGUUUAAUUCGACGCAACGCGAAGAACCUUACCAGGUCUUGACAUCGCGGUAAAGUAGUAGAAAUACUAUGUGGCUUCGGCCGACCAAAGACAGGUGGUGCAUGGUUGUCGUCAGCUCGUGUCGUGAGAUGUUGGGUUAAGUCCCGCAACGAGCGCAACCCUUAUGGUCAGUUACUAACGGGUAAAGCCGAGGACUCUGACAAGACUGCCGGGGACAACUCGGAGGAAGGUGGGGACGACGUCAAAUCAUCAUGCCCCUUAUGACCUGGGCUACACACGUGCUACAAUGGUGAUAACAAAGAGGAGCAGAGUCGUAAGGCCGAGCGGAUCUCAAAAAAAUCAUCUCAGUUCGGAUUGUGGGCUGCAACCCGCCCACAUGAAGUUGGAGUUGCUAGUAAUCGCGAAUCAGCAUGUCGCGGUGAAUACGUUCCCGGGCCUUGUACACACCGCCCGU